rnacentral:tRNA from 1 species
GGAGAGGUACCCAAGCGGCCAAAGGGGGCAGACUGUAAAUCUGUUGGCGGACGCCUUCGCUGGUUCGAAUCCAGCCCUCUCCACCA